rnacentral:sRNA from 1 species
UCCACACUUAUACGCUUCAGGAGGAGCGUGA